GCCAGAGUAGUAUAGUGGUUUGAGCAUUGGACUAUAACUCUGGAGACCAAGGUUCAAAUCCCUGCUCAGCG